AUUGAACGCUGGCGGCAGGCCUAACACAUGCAAGUCGAACGAGUGGCGGACGGGUGAGUAAUGUCUGGGAAACUGCCUGAUGGAGGGGGAUAACUACAGGAAACGGUAGCUAAUACCGCAUCCCCUCAGCUGUGCCCAUAUGGUAUUAACUUGUUGGUGGGGUAACGGCUCACGAAGGCGACGAUCCCUAGCUGGUCUGAAAGGAUGACCAGCCACACUGUAACUGAGACACGGUCCAUACUCCUACGGGAGGCAGCAGUGGGGAAUAUUGCACAAUGGGCGCAAGCCUGAUGCAACCAUGCCGCGUGUAUGAAGAAGGCCUUCGGGUUGUAAAGUACUUUCAGCGGGGAGGCGUUACCCGCAGAAGAAGCACCGGCUAACCCCGUGCCAGCAGCCGCGGUAAUAC
rnacentral:rRNA from 1 species